AGGGGUCUGGUACAUGCGAGCCUGCUUUCUGAAAACUAUCCUCAGGACCCUUGUAGCAGAAAAAAGGAAGAAUACAGAAGUUUCCAUUUGGGAGAAGAGUAGGGAGCACGUGUUUGCACAUUUCUCAUGGAUUUUUGUCAUCUCUGCUGCCGUCCACCUUCAUUUGAGAGAUAUCACUGCCAUCUUUUGAUGUGUUUGACCUGGAUGAAGACUCAGCUCCCCUUCCGAGUCCCCUGGCUUCCCCUGGACUUGGCUCCCCCUGGAUGAAGACUCAGAUGGACUGAACA